rnacentral:rRNA from 1 species
UACGUAGGGCGCAAGCGUUGUCCGGAAUUAUUGGGCGUAAAGAGCUCGUAGGCGGCUUGUCACGUCGGGUGUGAAAGCCCGGGGCUUAACCCCGGGUCUGCAUUCGAUACGGGCUGGCUAGAGUGUGGUAGGGGAGAUCGGAAUUCCUGGUGUAGCGGUGAAAUGCGCAGAUAUCAGGAGGAACACCAGCGGCGAAGGCGGCGCUCUGGGCCGGAACUGACGCUGAGGAGCGAAAGCGUGGGUAGCAAACAGG